UGUAAUGUAAUUCCCACAACAUUAAUGCACCAAAUCCCACUAUAAAUAUGUAGUUAAGCACGUUGGGAUAGAGUAGUACUGGGAUGGGUGACUACAUGGGAAGUCCUAGUGUUUUUUAUGC
rnacentral:rRNA from 1 species